GACGAACGCUGGCGGCGUGCCUAAUACAUGCAAGUAGAACGCAGUUGCGAACGGGUGAGUAACGCGUAGGUAACUGCCUCAUAGCGGGGGAUAACUAUUGGAAACGAUAGCUAAUACCGCAUACUGUGAGAUGGACCUGCGUUGUAUUAGCUAGUUGGUGAGGUAAAGGCUCACCAAGGCGACGAUACAUAGCCGACCUGAGAGGGGGAACGGCCACACUGGAACUGGGACACGGCCCAGCUUCCAACGGGAGGCAGCAGUGGGGAAUCUUCGGCAAGGGACGGAAGUCUGACCGGGAAACGCCGCGUGAGGGAAGAAGGUUUUGGGAACGUAAAGCUCGUUUGUUGGGGAAACGGUAACUAACCAGAAGGGGCCGGCUACCUACGUGCCAGCGCCCGCGGUAAUU
rnacentral:rRNA from 1 species